rnacentral:rRNA from 1 species
GAGUUUGAUCGUGGCUCAGAUUGAACGCUGGCGGCAUGCCUUACACAUGCAAGUCGAACGGCAGCAUGAUCUAGCUUGCUAGAUUGAUGGCGAGUGGCGAACGGGUGAGUAAUACAUCGGAACAUGCCCUGUAGUGGGGGAUAACUAGUCGAAAGAUUAGCUAAUACCGCAUACGACCUGAGGGUGAAAGUGGGGGACCGCAAGGCCUCAUGCUAUAGGAGCGGCCGAUGUCUGAUUAGCUAGUUGGUGGGGUAAAGGCCCACCAAGGCGACGAUCAGUAGCUGGUCUGAGAGGACGAUCAGCCACACUGGGACUGAGACACGGCCCAGACUCCUACGGGAGGCAGCAGUGGGGAAUUUUGGACAAUGGGCGAAAGCCUGAUCCAGCAAUGCCGCGUGUGUGAAGAAGGCC